UACGAAGGGUGCAAGCGUUACUCGGAAUUACUGGGCGUAAAGCGUGCGUAGGUGGUUUGUUAAGUCCGAUGUGAAAGCCCUGGGCUCAACCUGGGAAUGGCAUUGGAUACUGGCAGGCUAGAGUGCGGUAGAGGGCAGUGGAAUUCCCGGUGUAGCAGUGAAAUGCGUAGAUAUCAGGAGGAACACCGGUGGUGUAAACGGCUUUCUGGACCAUAACUGACACUGAGGCACGAAAGCGUGGGUAGCAAACAGG
rnacentral:rRNA from 1 species